rnacentral:rRNA from 1 species
UACAGAGGGGGCAAGCGUUGUUCGGAAUUACUGGGCGUAAAGGGCGCGUAGGCGGCCUGCUAAGUCGAGCGUGAAAUCCCUGGGCUCAACCCAGGAACUGCGUCCGAUACUGGUUGGCUUGAAUCCGGGAGAGGGAUGCAGAAUUCCAGGUGUAGCGGUGAAAUGCGUAGAUAUCUGGAGGAAUACCGGUGGCGAAGGCGGCAUCCUGGACCGACAUUGACGCUGAAAACCGAAAGCUAGGGGAGCAAACGGG